rnacentral:rRNA from 1 species
GACGGAGGGGGCAAGCGUUGUCCGGAAUCACUGGGCGUAAAGCGCACGUAGGCGGCUUGUUAAGUCAGGGGUGAAAUCCUGGAGCUCAACUCCAGAACUGCCUUUGAUACUGGCGAUCUUGAGUCCGGGAGAGGUGAGUGGAACUGCGAGUGUAGAGGUGAAAUUCGUAGAUAUUCGGAGGAACACCAGUGGCGAAGGCGGCUCACUGGUCCAUUACUGACGCUGAGGUGCGAAAGCGUGGGGAGCAAACAGG